rnacentral:rRNA from 1 species
UUGCUGCGGUUAAAAAGCUCGUAGUUGGAUCUGGGUCACCGGCGGGCGGUCCGUGUCGUCCAUUCGGCGCGUGAAUUCGCUAUGCGCGUUAUUUUCCACUUUGUUGGAAUGACGCUGCCGGCGUUAUGUUUCAAUUCUACUACGCGUAGUUUUGUGCGUUUCGUCGGUCGCCGGGACUACCUGUCGAGCCGUGUAGCAUUCUCUUCAGUGAGUGUGCUGCACGUUCGGUGCGUUUACUUUGAAAAAAUUAGAGUGCUCAAAGCAAGCGUAUAGCUGCCGCAAGGUGGCUUGAAUAGUGGUGCAUGGAAUAAUAGAAUAGGACUUCGCGUUCUAGUUUGUUGGUUUUUAGCUCUCGAAGUAAUGAUUAAGAGGGACAGACGGGGGCAUUCGUAUUGUGUCGUUAGAGGUGAAAUUCUUGGAUCGACGCAAGACGAACUAAUGCGAAAGCAUUUGCCAAGAAUGUUUUCAUUAAUCACAGAACGAAAGUUAGAGGUUCGAAGGCGAUCAGAUACCGCCCUAGUUCUAACCAUAAACGAUGCCAACCUGCGAUCCGCCGUAGCUCUAUUAUGAACGACGCGGCGGGCAGCUUCCGGGAAACCAAAGUCUUUGGGUUCCGGGGGAAGUAUGGUUGCAAAGCUGAAACUUAAAGGAAUUGACGGAAGGGCACCACCAGGAGUGGAGCCUGCGGCUUAAUUUGACUCAACACGGGGAAACUCACCCGGCCCGGACACUGUAAGGAUUGACAGAUUGAGAGCUCUUUCAAGAUUCGGUGGUUGGUGGUGCAUGGCCGUUCUUAGUUGGUGGAGUGAUUUGUCUGGUUAAUUCCGAUAACGAACGAGACUUUAACCUAUUAACUAGCCAACCGGUCAUGACUCGUAUGUUUGUUGUUUCGGCAAUGAGCGUAUGUUGUCAAUGCCGGUUGCAUAAAUGCUUCUUAGAGGGACAGGCGGUAUAUUUGAAGCCGCACGAAGCUAAGCAAUAACAGGUCUGUGAUGCCCUUAGAUGUCCGGGGCCGCACGCGCGCUACAAUGAAAGAAUCAGUGAGUUUGUUCGUUCCUGGGCUGAAAGGCUUGGGAAAUCCGCUGAAACUCUUUCGUAAUUGGAAUUGAGCUUUGUAAUUAUCGCUCAUGAACNNNNAAUUCCCAGUAAGCGCGAGUCAUCAGCUCGCGCUGAUUACGUCCCUGCCCUUUGUACACACCGCCCGUCGCUACUACCGAUUGGAUGAUCUAGUGAGGUCUUCGGACUGACAGGCGAAGCUGUUAGCUUCGG